GAAGAAAAUGCAUUUUAUCCAUUGGGAAUUGGCUGGAUAAUGAAAAGUAAGUGUUACCUACCAGAAUGGAUGCAGAUGGUUGCAGAUGGGGAUGUUUGCCAAAAAAAAAAAGUUGUUCCUUUUGUUUAAAGACCACAUUUUGUUUUCUUUUUCGUGCAAAGCAAGACCAGAAAUGCAUUUGAAAAUUAAAUGGGGUUAUUUUGAUUUCAUGUUACUUGCAGAAACAAUAUCAAGGCCUUAACAUCUGCGUGCUGACUUCACCAGUUACUCCACAGCCAACUUCCUCCAAACACAUGUGUUUAUGGGUGUGGGUCUUUCUCUCUGGAGCCCCUCUUCAUAUCUGCUCCAGGGAGCAACUGCAGCUUAUUUGAAUUCAAAGGGUGGGGCUACACGUUCAGUUAGCAAACUUAAGAAAACACGAGUUUCAUAUCUGAGAGACGCCAGAGACAUUGAGCCAACCAGAUAGACAGACAUGGCCCUUUAGCCACACAUCAAACUCAAGAUAACUGCCACAGAGUACCAGACGGUGGACGUCAUCUGGCCAAACCAAGCGAGACAACCUGCUGCCGUUGGCUUGGAGCUUUUACAGUCAGACUAGGCUACAUACCGCAAGUCAGUCAUGGAGAUCAGUACGGCUCCCGUCCCGAUCACCCACUCACUAGUCCCGAUGAUCCUAACUGCUCCAGAUCUACAGACCUCAACAAGGAUUUUACACAAUGACACCUCCAGUAACAUCACAGACACCAUGGAGGACCCCACGGUCGGUAUGGCUUCCGGUGCUGAAUCAGUGGACGCCAUUCUACUGGGAGUUUCUGUAAUAGCAGUUGUUGUGAUGAUACUGCUAAUUAUAAUAGUGGUUCUCCGCUUCAUGGCCCAUCAGAAAGGUACAUAUUACACCCAUGAGGAGGCUUUAGCAUUUAAGAGUGACCCUGAGGUGCAGGAGGUCACCGAAGAUCCGGAAGAUCCAGAAGAAGAGGAGCCUUAGUAUCUUCUGGCGGGAAGCCUUUUGGGACGUUUCCUGUGUGAAAUCACUAUGAGCGACAGAAGGAUCUGUCGUGGUUCCUCUUCCUUUUUGCUCUCCAAUCACAUAUGCCUUUUCCAACAGAUGUCCUUUUCUGAUGGCUUCACACUCAACCACUCCAAAACUAAAAUAUAUUUCCAUGUGGAGAAGCACUUGUGUGCUAAUUAUUUUACUUUGUGUGUUAUAGAGUACUUAAGAUUAUAUUAAAAAAAUGUUUUAUACUGUAAACUUUUAGCCUUAUGAAUUAACACAUUAAUGUCUCCAUGUAGAAUCUUUUAUAUUAACAUACCAUGAAGUUCUUUGCAAAUAUUAAGUGUGUUUUUCAUAAAUUAUUUAAUUUACGCCAACUUUAGUGACUGGUUGACAUGUAUCUCUUUGUAGAAUCUUCUUUGCAAAGAUUAAGACGCCAGAAUUGGCAGCCUGAAUCAAACACCUCCACUUGACUCAUUAUCCAGGCAGUUGUCAAAAGCUACUCUGAAGGUUGUCAUCAUGUAUGCCAGUUGUUUUGGAACAUCUGUAGUAACUCAAAAAAUAUUCACAGGUGGAAGAAGAGUGAGAGAGCCUUCGGCAAAUGUCCAUAUUUCACAUAGUGAAAAUGUUGACGUUUUUUUUACUCACCCAUGUCAUUCCAAUUCCUCUCUUUUUCUGUGGAACACAACAUUAGACGUUCAGCAGAAUUUUUAUGCUGCUUCGUUCCAUAUAACAUGUAAAUAAAGUUCCAAAAAUGACAAUAAAAGCAACAUGGGAGAGAGUAAAUAAUGACAUAAAUAUACAAUUCAUACAAAUAAAUUUUUUUUUAAAGACUUGCAUUAAAUUGAUCAAAAGUGACAGUAAAGACAUUUAUGAUGUUACAAAAGAUUUACAUUUGCAAAUAAAUGCUGUUCAUUUGAAUUUCCUUUUCUUCAAAAAUUCCUGGAAAAAAAAGUCCCACAGUUUCCACAUGAUCCUUUCUGAAGGAUCAUGUGACACUGAAGACUGGAGUAAUGGCUGAUGAAAAUUCAGCUUUGCCAUCACAGGAAUAAAUUACAUUUUAAAAUAUAUUCCAAUACAAAACAGCCAUUAUACAUUUUACAGCCUUGGUGAGCAUAAGAGGCUUCAUAAAAGAAAAAGAAAAAAAUCUUCACCAACCUCAAACUUUUGAACAGUUAGUUGUUGUUUUUUCUUCUUUCUCAGAUGUAAUCAUAUGAACCAAAGAACAACUUUUUUAUUAUCUUUGUGGUUUGUUUGUCUAUCUAUUUAAGCUUUAUUUUAAGCUACAGUAUGUUUUGCUUCAGUUAUGAAUAAAAUGAAUGAUGCAGCAAAUGAUUGAUUUAAAUUAAUUCUUGAAACAUUUUGCAUGGGAACAGAUAUAAGUAAAUACAUAUUAACAUUCUUGUAAUAUUUAUUGUAGAAAUCCUUGACAGAUCACGCUGCUGACACCAGUGAAGUUAAAAUAAAGCUAAAAACGGAG
ensembl:lncRNA